rnacentral:rRNA from 1 species
GACGAACGCUGGCGGCGUGCUUAACACAUGCAAGUCGAACGGAAAGGCCCUGCUUUUGUGGGGUGCUCGAGUGGCGAACGGGUGAGUAACACGUGAGUAACCUGCCCUUGACUUUGGGAUAACUUCAGGAAACUGGGGCUAAUACCGGAUAGGAGCUCCGGCUGCAUGGGGGGGGUUGGAAAGUUUCGGCGGUUGGGGAUGGACUCGCGGCUUAUCAGCUUGUUGGGGGGGUAGUGGCUUACCAAGGCUUUGGCGGGUAGCCGGCCUGAGAGGGUGACCGGCCACAUUGGGACUGAGAUACGGCCCAGACUCCUACGGGAGGCAGCAGUGGGGAAUAUUGCACAAUGGGCGGAAGCCUGAUGCAGCAACGCCGCGUGCGGGAUGACGGCCUUCGGGUUGUAAACCGCUUUCGCCUGUGACGAAGCGUGAGUGACGGUAAUGGGUAAAGAAGCACCGGCUAACUACGUG